rnacentral:rRNA from 2 species
AAAACGGAGAGUUUGAUCCUGGCUCAGGAUGAACGCUGGCGGUAUGCUUAACACAUGCAAGUCGAACGGUGUCUUCGGACACAGUGGCGGACGGGUGAGUAACGCGUGAGAAUCUGGCUCUAGGUCUGGGACAACCACUGGAAACGGUGGCUAAUACCGGAUGUGCCGAGAGGUGAAAGGUUAACUGCCUGGAGAUGAGCUCGCGUCUGAUUAGCUAGUAGGUGUGGUAAAGGCGCACCUAGGCGACGAUCAGUAGCUGGUCUGAGAGGACGAUCAGCCACACUGGGACUGAGACACGGCCCAGACUCCUACGGGAGGC